GCGUUGGUAGUGCAAUGGUUAGCAUACGCUCGCGAAAAGAGUGAGAUCUGGGUUCGAAUCCCGGCUGAAGCA